rnacentral:rRNA from 1 species
AGCGAACGCUGGCGGCAGGCUUAACACAUGCAAGUCGAACGCCCCGCAAGGGGAGUGGCAGACGGGUGAGUAACACGUGGGAACGUACCCUUUGGUUCGGAAUAACUUGGGGAAACUCAAGCUAAUACCGGAUAAGCCCUUAUGGGGAAAGGUUUACUGCCGAAGGAUCGGCCCGCGUCUGAUUAGCUAGUUGGUGAGGUAACGGCUCACCAAGGCGACGAUCAGUAGCUGGUCUGAGAGGAUGAUCAGCCACACUGGGACUGAGACACGGCCCAGACUCCCACGGGAGGCAGCAGUGGGGAAUAUUGGACAAUGGGGGGCAACCCUGAUCCAGCCAUGCCGCGUGAGUGAUGAAGGCCUUAGGGUUGUAAAGCUCUUUUACCCGGGACGAUAAUGACUGUACCGGGAGAAUAAGCCCCGGCUGACUUCGUGCCAGCCGCCGCCGUAA